rnacentral:rRNA from 1 species
GGGUUGUGAGGUUAAGCGACUAAGCGUACACGGUGGAUGCCCUGGCAGUCAGAGGCGAUGAAGGACGUGCUAAUCUGCGAUAAGCGUCGGUAAGGUGAUAUGAACCGUUAUAACCGGCGAUUUCCGAAUGGGGAAACCCAGUGUGAUUCGUCACACUAUCAUUAACUGAAUCCAUAGGUUAAUGAGGCGAACCGGGGGAACUGAAACAUCUAAGUACCCCGAGGAAAAGAAAUCAACCGAGAUUCCCCCAGUAGCGGCGAGCGAACGGGGAGCAGCCCAGAGCCUGAAUCAGUGUGUGUGUUAGUGGAAGCGUCUGGAAAGGCGUGCGAUACAGGGUGACAGCCCCGUACACAAAAAUGCACAUGCUGUGAGCUCGAUGAGUAGGGCGGGACACGUGGUAUCCUGUCUGAAUAUGGGGGGACCAUCCUCCAAGGCUAAAUACUCCUGACUGACCGAUAGUGAACCAGUACCGUGAGGGAAAGGCGAAAAGAACCCCGGCGAGGGGAGUGAAAAAGAACCUGAAACCGUGUACGUACAAGCAGUGGGAGCCUCUUUUAUGGGGUGACUGCGUACCUUUUGUAUAAUGGGUCAGCGACUUAUAUUCUGUAGCAAGGUUAACCGAAUAGGGGAGCCGAAGGGAAACCGAGUCUUAACUGGGCGUUAAGUUGCAGGGUAUAGACCCGAAACCCGGUGAUCUAGCCAUGGGCAGGUUGAAGGUUGGGUAACACUAACUGGAGGACCGAACCGACUAAUGUUGAAAAAUUAGCGGAUGACUUGUGGCUGGGGGUGAAAGGCCAAUCAAACCGGGAGAUAGCUGGUUCUCCCCGAAAGCUAUUUAGGUAGCGCCUCGUGAAUUCAUCUCCGGGGGUAGAGCACUGUUUCGGCAAGGGGGUCAUCCCGACUUACCAACCCGAUGCAAACUGCGAAUACCGGAGAAUGUUAUCACGGGAGACACACGGCGGGUGCUAACGUCCGUCGUGAAGAGGGAAACAACCCAGACCGCCAGCUAAGGUCCCAAAGUCAUGGUUAAGUGGGAAACGAUGUGGGAAGGCCCAGACAGCCAGGAUGUUGGCUUAGAAGCAGCCAUCAUUUAAAGAAAGCGUAAUAGCUCACUGGUCGAGUCGGCCUGCGCGGAAGAUGUAACGGGGCUAAACCAUGCACCGAAGCUGCGGCAGCGACACUAUGUGUUGUUGGGUAGGGGAGCGUUCUGUAAGCCUGUGAAGGUGUGCUGUGAGGCAUGCUGGAGGUAUCAGAAGUGCGAAUGCUGACAUAAGUAACGAUAAAGCGGGUGAAAAGCCCGCUCGCCGGAAGACCAAGGGUUCCUGUCCAACGUUAAUCGGGGCAGGGUGAGUCGACCCCUAAGGCGAGGCCGAAAGGCGUAGUCGAUGGGAAACAGGUUAAUAUUCCUGUACUUGGUGUUACUGCGAAGGGGGGACGGAGAAGGCUAUGUUGGCCGGGCGACGGUUGUCCCGGUUUAAGCGUGUAGGCUGGUUUUCCAGGCAAAUCCGGAAAAUCAAGGCUGAGGCGUGAUGACGAGGCACUACGGUGCUGAAGCAACAAAUGCCCUGCUUCCAGGAAAAGCCUCUAAGCAUCAGGUAACAUCAAAUCGUACCCCAAACCGACACAGGUGGUCAGGUAGAGAAUACCAAGGCGCUUGAGAGAACUCGGGUGAAGGAACUAGGCAAAAUGGUGCCGUAACUUCGGGAGAAGGCACGCUGAUAUGUAGGUGAAGUCCCUCGCGGAUGGAGCUGAAAUCAGUCGAAGAUACCAGCUGGCUGCAACUGUUUAUUAAAAACACAGCACUGUGCAAACACGAAAGUGGACGUAUACGGUGUGACGCCUGCCCGGUGCCGGAAGGUUAAUUGAUGGGGUCAGCGCAAGCGAAGCUCUUGAUCGAAGCCCCGGUAAACGGCGGCCGUAACUAUAACGGUCCUAAGGUAGCGAAAUUCCUUGUCGGGUAAGUUCCGACCUGCACGAAUGGCGUAAUGAUGGCCAGGCUGUCUCCACCCGAGACUCAGUGAAAUUGAACUCGCUGUGAAGAUGCAGUGUACCCGCGGCAAGACGGAAAGACCCCGUGAACCUUUACUAUAGCUUGACACUGAACAUUGAGCCUUGAUGUGUAGGAUAGGUGGGAGGCUUUGAAGUGUGGACGCCAGUCUGCAUGGAGCCGACCUUGAAAUACCACCCUUUAAUGUUUGAUGUUCUAACGUUGACCCGUGAUCCGGGUUGCGGACAGUGUCUGGUGGGUAGUUUGACUGGGGCGGUCUCCUCCUAAAGAGUAACGGAGGAGCACGAAGGUUGGCUAAUCCUGGUCGGACAUCAGGAGGUUAGUGCAAUGGCAUAAGCCAGCUUGACUGCGAGCGUGACGGCGCGAGCAGGUGCGAAAGCAGGUCAUAGUGAUCCGGUGGUUCUGAAUGGAAGGGCCAUCGCUCAACGGAUAAAAGGUACUCCGGGGAUAACAGGCUGAUACCGCCCAAGAGUUCAUAUCGACGGCGGUGUUUGGCACCUCGAUGUCGGCUCAUCACAUCCUGGGGCUGAAGUAGGUCCCAAGGGUAUGGCUGUUCGCCAUUUAAAGUGGUACGCGAGCUGGGUUUAGAACGUCGUGAGACAGUUCGGUCCCUAUCUGCCGUGGGCGCUGGAGAACUGAGGGGGGCUGCUCCUAGUACGAGAGGACCGGAGUGGACGCAUCACUGGUGUUCGGGUUGUCAUGCCAAUGGCACUGCCCGGUAGCUAAAUGCGGAAGAGAUAAGUGCUGAAAGCAUCUAAGCACGAAACUUGCCCCGAGAUGAGUUCUCCCUGACCCUUUAAGGGUCCUGAAGGAACGUUGAAGACGACGACGUUGAUAGGCCGGGUGUGUAAGCGCAGCGAUGCGUUGAGCUAACCGGUACUAAUGAACCGUGAGGCUUAACCUUACAACGCCGAAG